CCAAGUGAUGAUCAACUAUAUUCACACUGUGUGACGUCCAGUUUAACUACUGGCUUGAUGAUCACAACCACAAAAAAACUGAUUUAAUGACUCUGAUU
rnacentral:snoRNA from 1 species